rfam:Scleropages formosus scaffold2126, whole genome shotgun sequence.
ACAUUAUCAGGGGCAGGGUCCUCCAUAAUGU